rfam:Myotis davidii contig74505, whole genome shotgun sequence.
AUAAAGGUUUUUUUAAAAACCCUUUAAAAUCAAAGACCAUAGUAUU